rnacentral:tRNA from 1 species
CUGUUGGUAGUUCAGUGGUAGAAUUCUUGCCUUCCAUGCUGGAGACCUGGGUUCGAUUCCUGGCCAAUAUA